UCUGGUCGGUUACGGAUCCUUAAUCCAAAAGCCCGCUGUAUGCCUACGGUCGAAACGCUGAUGUGAGAUACCAAAGACGGCCGGAGGUGAGGCAACGGCCGCGGUGCCAAGAAAAUGGCGAAGGACGCGAUUCUAGGGUUCCUCCAGGCCGACGACGGGAUCACCGACUCCCACGAGUUCACCGCCGUUGACGGAGUCGACCAUACUGAGCUCGAGAACGUCAUCAAGGGUCUCAAUGGCUUUGAGGUCGUCGAGGCCAACGUCUUUCAAUCUCCCAACCCUGGUCUUUAUUAAUUGUAUUUUGAGGAUUCCUACAGGAAAUUUAAGCAGGACAAUUAUCUUUUUAGCGAAGAGGGGAAACUGUAUGCGGUUAAAGGAUCGCCGGAGGUCAACUUCUUCUUGGCCGUACCUCCGAGGGGAUUUCCUUGGAAAAUAUGAAGGCAAGAUUGGAUACCUAGGUUUUCAGUAUUGGGUCAUCAUGGGCUAAAAAGAAUGAUCGAAUUGAGAUUGCCAAGGUAUCUGUAUCUAGAAAGUUAUCAUGAAGGUUUGAAGAAAUGGGUGGAGGUUGGGAACUCUGGCAUGUUCACACCUGAAAUGGUGCUCCCUAUGCACGGGGUUUCCCUUGAGAGGUAAUUGUGUUUGCUUGAUUCUUUAGAACGCAAGGCAUAUCAUAAUUCAGAAAGCAACCUGCUGUUACCAUUGCAGCUUAAGUUGCUUGAGGCACAACUUAAAUGAGGUUUAACAUAAACUAUUUAAGUUUUGUUAGGCUACAUUAGAAUGAUCAUUCAGUUGUUGUCAGAUGUGAUGUCAACAGUUUGUGGUCGACACAGUUAAAGAUGAUUGACCUUUUGUCUCUUGUUUUGGGAAAGAUUAGUUGUGUUGUAGCAUCCAUUUUUAUCCAUGAUUAGAUGGAGAAAAACUAGACAUAGUACAGAAGUACCAAAGUCAGGGUGAACUACUGAUCAAAUGCUUGGUUAAGAUCCUGCGUAAAUUGCUGCUAUUUGGAGCUGCAUCAUGCAUUCUUAACUCUUGUUAUAAUCUACGAAACAACAUUUUUAGCCAGUACAUAUCUUUGUCUUUUGGUACUCUAUGUUACUCCAUUUAGUGGCUUUUAAAUUUCUGUCAAAUCCAGGCCAACUAUGAUUUAUAUAGAAUUGACAAAAUUCAAGAUCUCUUAGGACUGAAGGUCUGACAAAUUUAGUCAAGUAUGGUUGGAUUAGAAUAUUGGUCCGGAACUAGGGUGGUAGAUCUACUCCUGACCAAUUUAUGAUCAUGUUUAAGAUCUUAUUUUGUAAUAUCCAGCCAACUGAGCCACUUUUGUUGCUAAAUGAUUAGUACUACUCAAGUUUAGUAAUAUUUUGAUCAACCAUAAACUUUUUUUCUCUUUUUUUAUUAAUCGGUGAAUUUGUUCAAGAACCUACAUGUGCCAAUUGUCCCGUAUUUAAAGAAAAAUAAGAGAUGAGUAAUUUGAAUGCUCAGGGUAGGUAUUAUUGGUUGAUCCAUGGGCUGAUCCAUUUGCGACCAUUUAUUAUUUUGUUGGUUUCCUAUACCCAUUACCAACCCAUUUAUGAAAGUUCUUCCAUAUUUGUUUACUGUCUAGCUGGCUGGUCUAGUUUGCUUACUAUUAUUUAUAGAUGUUUUGAUUUGCUUUCUCCUUAUUUAUAAGGAUAAAUCCGAGUAUAAAUUGGCAUAUUAUUCAGCUAACUUGCCUUCAGUAAAUUGAAUCAUCUGGUUCUCUCAACUUUGCUUCUGUGUUGGAAUUUUUAAUGAUACAAGCCUAAGUCUUAGGACUAAUAUACAUAAGAUUGAAAACCAAUUCAAUUCAAAAACUUAGUAAGUUGCACAUAAAACUCAGUGUGUGUCACCCAACUCUUUUAAUCCUUAGCCAUGUUAAUUUUAAUCAUCACUCAAUCUUCAUCUCAUGCAUAAAUACUUUUCUAACAAAUCCCACCUUUAUUAAAAGAAUUGUGUUACUCUGUUUUCUUAGACAAUCUCAUUUGUCCAUGUUAUAGCUGCGAGUUUUGCUUCACCACCCUAAUUUGUCAAUUACACUCAUGUUUGAAAAAUGUUGACAAAAUGACAAUCACAUCCCUCAAUGAAUUGACAGUUCUUCCCUGCUUUGCCUUAUCAAAAGGAACCAAACUAAAUGAAAAGCCAAAGACUUCAGUUUCUACAAGAAAAAUACAAUGUACUUAGAUGGUCUCUCAGGGAGGUUUAGCCAGAUUCAAAGCACCCAUAGGAACAAGACAGCCAUUUUCUUGGACUGCACCACCGGCAGUAGGCCACUCAAAUUGUCAUGUUUGUGAUAAGGAGCAAUAAAGUGCACAGACACAACAAACAAGUGACCCAAACAUGACUUUAGGGAAGCCCCAUGGAGACUUCCCAUCCAUAUCCCAUGGACCAGCUCAUAAAUCAUUCACAUCCCUGGAUGUGUACACUCCACCAAUGUUCAUAAUCCCCCCUACAUUUCAGAUUCAGGAGCUUGCUGGUCCUACAUUUAUUUUACCAUCCCUUUAAUUCUAAAGCUCCUUUGGCUUUGUUAGUACUGAGAUAUCAUUAAAGUUAGCUGAGACUUGGAAAUACCGAAAUACUGGGCACAAAGACUUUGGAAAUAUCUGAAUUAUUGUAGAAUAUGCAUGAAAUUCCCCAACUGAACACAAAAUUAGGAAUAAAUUUGAAAAAAAAAAUUCAUGUAGUUGAAUAUUAAUUGAAAACUUUCCAUCAGAACUUACAUGAAGAUUUUAGAGAAAUAUAGAAGUUAUGUAAUUAUAGAUCAAAAGAGGUCUCAUGGAACAAAACAUGAGGACAAGGUUGGCUUACCUACUUGGAUAGAUGUAACUUGCAUUGGGGUCUUAGUUUACAUGUCCCACACAGAUUUAUUAAGGUCUUGUUAUAGCUAUGAUGAUUGACCCUUGUUUGUAUCAAUAAAUGCACAGAACUCUUUGGUUCACCUUCAAUUGCCACUCGCCACUUUAUUGUCAUGUCAUGCAUGCAGCUUCCCCAAGAUCUAUAAAAGAGGUCAAAGCCCUAAAUAGAACAAAUGACCUUCUAAUUCUGUUAACACUUCAUUUACAAAAUAGAUGCUUAGCAUAAUAGACAUGAUGGGAACUUUGUGAAAACCUUGUCUUGCUUUAGACAGCUUUAUUUUUCUCUUUGUUAACACUUUAGGGAUGGGAUGCAUAUAAUUAAUUUUCAGAAAGAAAAUUACACACAUGUCAGGUCUAAGUUGGAUCAAGACAAGCACAAUAGGCUAUGAGUUGAUCACUACUGAAAAAAGGGGUCCUCAAUAAUUUCUUGCCGAACGUAUCUUUAUGUGAAUCAAAAGCUAGAUACGGGCCACAAGUGAUACAUACAUGGCACUCCAAUUUCAAGACAAAAAGGAAGUCUUCAGAAGAUGUUGAAGCCCUUCCUCUUGGGAAAGUGCAAAAUUAUAGGGGGUGGUGUAGGGCCUGAAGAUGUCUCCUAUCUUUUGUUCACGAACCUUCCCUUCUCCCAUCGUCAGAUCAGUACACAAAAAUGUUUGCUUGUGAGAACACUUGUGGCGAGAGGUGAUUGGUCCAUUUCUAUGCCUCCUGUGAUUUAUUUGUCUUUCUUUCAGAAGUAGAAAUGAUUUAUGUUAUUAUUCAGAUGCUGAGAAUUCAUCUUCUUCAGUUGUGUCAGUGACGAAACCAAGCAAGUAGCUGAAAGAAAGAGAGGACACUCGAAGACGGUCCUCUUGAGCUAAACUGAGGUCCAACUUACAAGAUGUGCUGUUGGAGUUGGCCCAUGAAUUGCUGCAUUAAUCACUGUACCUGUUACAGCCUCCAAUGUUGAUGAUCAUGGAAGCUUAGGAUGAUUUGGAAGGGCACAACUGAGUCCAAUGGAGAUCUGACACAAUCCUCAACUAAAAGGAGAGCACUAAGCAAAGGCAAGCAAUAAUUCUGUGUGAGGUCCAUCAAGAUAGAAAUGUCUCAUUCAGAAUAGGUUACAUUUGAUUCAUUCAGAAUAAGCAAAAGCCAAGGAUUAUAGUGCAGAGAGCACCAUCAUUGGCUGAAAGGAUUUGCUUAGAUGAGGUUACUGUUAUGUGAACAUAAAUUUAAGACUCCUGAAGUGCAUGAAAUUAGAUUACUGUCAUCAAGCAAGGAGAGAGGUCAGAUGCAUAUGUAGAACAGAGAGGCUUAUGUUUUACAUGCACCAAUUAUCAACAAUGAGCUCACAAUUAGUUUGUAAAUGAUGUUAUGAACUUCAUAUGAGGAGGAUCAAUGCAAUUGCCUGUAAAUAUAUGCUUCCAUGAAGAAGAAUACUGUAAUGGAGGUGUAUCAGGAAGACUGGUUGCUAAGAUGCUUAAAUGUCUCAGACAUCAGAAAACACUAAUUAUAAGCACAACAAUUUAAUAGGAAAGAAAGAUGGCAAGUUCCCUGAAUGUGAUGCCAAAUUGUCCCUGAUAUCUUUAUGGAAUCUUUAGCUGAAUCAUAUUGCCAAUCUAGUGUGCACUGUGGACCAAAUAAAUUCUGAUAACUUUGAAUGUUACAAAGAAAGUUAAUGGCAACAAAUAAGCAGAGUUGAUGAACAAACUCAAGCAUAUCAAGAUGAAGAUGACUCCAAGUCAUUUUGCAAUUAGCAGCACAUUAUCCAAAAUUUGGUUUGAGAAGCUACUUGAGUCAUUCAAACAAAGUCACAACAUAAGAAAAUAAUGAUGGUAACUGAAAAAAAUAAUGCAGUUUAGAAAAAUUUUAAGAAGAAUGUCUGGUACUCCCUUUGCAAAUAAUUAGCCUUGAAAAUUUGGAUCCAAUUCGGUAAGCGAAACUCGAAAAACAUUGGCACACUCAGAUGAAACAACAGGUGUAGACAUAUGAAGAACUAAUGGCAUAUUUUCUUAGCAACAAUGAGUUGAAAAAUACAAAGAAUGAACAAAGAAAUCAAGUAUGAACUUGUAAACAAUAAUAAAUAAAAAGGACUUCAUGAUAACUAAAACAGGGAGUAUAUCAUUGGAUAAAGAAUUAAAUUGAUAUAGAAAGCUAUUAGUUGAGUAACA